UGCAAAUCAAUAUAAAUUGAUUUAAUUUUUAUUUAUUUUAUUUUUUUUUAUUAUUAUUUAUUUAUAUUAAAAAUAAUUAUAAAGUAAUAUGUUUUAGUAAUUUUAUUGAAAUAAUAAUUAUUAUAAUAGUUUAUUUGUAUUGUGAAAGAUUAUUGAAAUAUUUUGAAAAAUUUUUAUAUAAAAAGAAAAAUUAAUUAUUUGUACCUUGUGUAUCAGGGUUUAUUAAAUAAUUAAUAAAAAUAUUUAUUAAUCUCGAUUUUAUAAGAGUUAAUAGUUUAAUAAAGUUAAUGUAUCAUAAUUAUUUUUUAUAAAUUAUUGGAAAUGAAAUGUUAUUCGUUUAUAAAGGUAUCUAGUUUUUUUAGAAAUAAAUUUAAUUUAUAAAUUUUUGAUUUGUUAAUUAUUUUAUUAAUUAAUAAAUUUAUUUAUUUAAAUAUUUUAAGGGAUAAGCUUUAAAAUAAAUUAUUAUAAAUUUUAUUAAAUUAUUAUUUAAAAUAUAUGCAUAGAAUUAGCAAUUAUUAAAAAAUUUGUUAUAAAUUAUUUUAUUUAUAUAUUAUUUAUUAAUAUUUUAAUUUUUUUAUAAAAAUAUUUUUUUUAAUUUUAAUUAAAAAGAAAUAAUGAUAAAAUUAGUAUAUAAAAUAUGUAAAAGUAAUUUUAUUUGAUAAGUUUAUAUAAAGAACUCGGCAAAUAUUUUACUCGCCUGUUUAACAAAAACAUGUCUUUUUGAGUUAUUUUUAAAGUCUAACCUGCCCAAUGAAAAAUUUUUAAUGGCCGCAGUAAUUUGACUGUGCAAAGGUAGCAUAAUAAUUAGUCUUUUAAUUGAAGGCUUGUAUGAAUGGUUGGACGAAGUAUAANCUGUUUCAUUUAAAUUUAUUAUAGAAUUUUAUAUUUUAGUAAAAAAGCUAAAAUUUUNNNAAAAGACGAGAAGACCCUAUAAAUCUUUAUAAUUUAUAUUUAUUUUUCUUUUUUUGAUUUAUUUUAUUUUAAUAAUUUAGAUUAUUUUAUUGGGGUGAUAUUAAAAUUUAAAUAAACUUUUAAUUUUUUUUUACAUUAAUUUAUGAUUUAUUGAUCCAUUAAUAAUGAUUAAAAGAAUAAGUUACUUUAGGGAUAACAGCGUAAUUUUUUUGGAGAGUUCUUAUUGAUAAAAAAGUUUGCGACCUCGAUGUUGGAUUAAGAUAUAAUUUUAGGUGUAGUUGCUUAAAUAAUAAGUCUGUUCGACUUUUAAA
rnacentral:rRNA from 1 species